AAUUAAGGAAAUUUUGGUAAUCCGAGGAGGUUCGAUCGAGCAGGGGCCUUAUCAUGUCGGAAGAGGGGAUGGGAGGAACGCCGGGAGCAUGCACAAGGUCGUUCAUAUCUUUGAAGCUUUUGGUGGUGGUUCUAUGGAUAAAGGGGAAGUGAAUAAAAAAGGCGAGGAUGUAUGCUCCAGAGGUGAGGAAGUAAUAAGUAGGGAUAUGGAGUUGCGCGGCGAUGGGUAGGGACUCGCUGCAGAAGAAGUCGAUGAUGAAGGCGGAGACUCGGGGGGAGAUGGACUGCAGGGCGCGGCGGACGUCGGGGUUGCUGCGGCGGAGGACCUCGAAGUAGACGGCCUCUAUUGAGGGGAAGGUGUCGAGGUCGAGGGACACAGCGGGGAGGUGGUGGAAGGUGAUGGAGGGGACGGUGGCGGAGAUGUGGCGGACGUAGUCCAUGGUGGAGCCGGUGUUGAAGGAGGGCGGCGCCACCAGGACGGUGACGGAGAGGGAGGGGUGGUGGUGGAGGAUGAAUUUGCCGAGCUCCACCAUGGACACCAGGUGGCCCAUUCCUGGAGAUGGGUAGAGGACUAUAGUUGGACUUGUCAUCUUCA
rnacentral:lncRNA from 1 species